CAAAAAAAAAAAUAAUGGUCAAUUUGCUAUUUGGAACCUCACUGGACUUUUAGCUCAUACCACGCUAUUUGUUUUCCUUACAGGGAUACGAGUGACGCGCGAGACUUGUAAAAGCUAACGUAGCCUUUUGUUUUGACUUUUGACUUUUUGGUCUUGUACUCGCGCUAUUCCUUGAAUGGAACAUGAUGUACUUGGAUUGUAUACGUUUUGAGCUAGUUUGGUGUAUUAACACUUUGUACCCCGUUUUCUAUCAAUGUAAAUUAUAAGCUUGAAUUGUGAAUGUUAAUUAUGGUUCAUGGAUGUGUGUACAUGACUCGAUUGAGUUAGUGAGUGAGUCCUGGCGAGAGCUGGGCAGGCGGUCCGCCGAACCCUUUGGUAUGCCUUAGGGGGAGGUGGGGUCGUCACAGAUGGUAUCAGAGCUCUUAUUGAGCUCGUGCCGGGAGAGGGUUCUCGGACUGUGGGGAUUGACUUGUUAAGUAUGGAACAAUUGUCUAUUGUUGGGGAUCUUAGAUAUGUAUGUUGGGUAGGAAUCUCUAAUAGGGUGAUUUGCUCUUGAGCCUGGCCAGCUUGAGUGGUGAAUUAUCAUAUUUUCGGAUUCUUGUCCCCGAAUACCAAAGAGUGACAUCUUUACGAUUAGCUGAGAUCUCGUGUAAUAUUUGGAUAAGUUUGGAUGGUGAAAGCAAAGGCACAGGGAAUGCGAGUAGUCUGGACUUGAAAAAUAUUGAAGAUAUUCAUGGGAUUUGGGAUCUUUCUUAUUCAUGUGUUUCGAGCCUUGAUUAAGUAUAGUGCCUGAGCGAUACCUAGGGUUAAUGCUCGAUAAGUUAUGUGACUUGUUUUGCUCGAAUGUAUUGUAUUGCCUUGUUUUAUGAUUUAGAGGGGUUAUGAUUUGCAAUAUUCUGUUUUAUGUUGUUUGUAUUUAUAUAGUUACUUAGUGGCUAUGAUCUAUUAUUGAUUAGUUGGUUAUAUUGUUCUAGUUUAUUAGCUGCGAAACAUGGAAGAUAAAAGAAGUCGGACCAAGAAAAAAUUAAUCGAGAACGCGGUUCUAGGCGAGGCCGUGAAGGUGAACAAGCACAGGAACUGGUGCCAGAACCGAGAGAGGAGAGGGAGGCAGCGGUUGAGCAGCAACCUGAACCCCAGACUGUCGGGGGAGAUCAGGUGGCCACUGCCAUCCAACAGAUGACUAAUAUUUUGACUCGGUUGGUGGAGCAACAGGGUCAAGGUUCUGUAAACCAACCUAGAGACCCUGAUAUGGGGCAGGAUAGAGCUUUGGAGAGAUUCCAAAAGUUCUCCCCACCCAAGUUUUUAGGAGGGCCAGACCCGUAUGAGGCUGAGAAAUGGCUGGAGGCCAUGAUAAAUAUCUUUGCUGCCCUAAACUAUACUGAGGAGAGACAAGUCCAAUUUGUUGUAUUUCAGUUUGAGGGGCCAGCUAGGGCUUGGUGGAAUGUAGUGAGGGCCAAGUGGGAGAGAGAGGGAACUGCCUGGACUUGGCUAAAUUUUGCACGGGACUUCAACGAAAAAUACCUUCCACCCAUCAUCCAGGAGAAGAGAGAGGACGAAUUCAUUAAACUCCGUCAGGGGAUGUUGAGUGUAACUGAGUAUGAGACUCAGUUUACAAAGUUGUCCAAAUUUGCUCCUGAACUGAUAGCUACGGAGCCGAGAAAAGUACGGAGGUUUAUACAAGGACUGAAUGUGGAAUUACAAGAAGCCUUAGCAGCGGUCCAAAUUAAUACUUUCACGGAGGUUCUGGAGAAAGCCUUGAGGAUAGAGACUGCUAGGGCACAAGUGAGAGCUUUCCAUGCAAAAAGGAGAGGUGCGCCUGGUGGAAGUCAAAGGCAAGGACAAAGUGAUUUUGAUAUGCCACCUUCUAAGAUAAGCCGAGGAGAUAGUAGUGAGAAAAUUUCAGGGAUAUCUAAGGAAAGUACUCCAAGAGGAGCUUCGCGUGGCUGGGGUCAAGCAAGAGGUGCCUCACAAGGAGGUCAGACCUCAACCCCUCAAGUACCUUGCGGGUACUGUGGGAAGGCCAAUCACGUGGAGAGUGAUUGUUGGCGAAAGGCGGGAAAAUGUUUAUGGUGUGGUAGCACCGAACACCAGCUUGUAACCUGUCCCCGUAGAUCACGUCUAAACCCUGAACAAGCAAGUGUAGGAGGGACUAAGCCAAGAGUGCCAGCUAGAACGUAUGCCUUGAACCAACAGGCAGUACCUGAACCAACGGAGAUAGUAGAAGGUACGAUUCGUGAUUUCUAUUGUUUCUCUAAGUUUUGGCUAUAGUGAGACCUGAGAGCCGGAAAUGAAUAUAUAAGGAAAAUACCCUACGUUAUUCGAAGUGCAUGUAUGAAUUUCGAGGUCGAAAUUCUUUUAAGGGGGAAAGGAUGUGAGGACCCGCAAAUUUCCUACAUUUUUCUUCAAAAAUGCCUUUUAUUUGAAAAUUAUUAUUUAUUAAGGCCCCUACCUCAUUAUAUCACACUAAGUGUAAAUAAACCUAGAAAAUAAGGUUUUACGCUUUGGUUUCAAGUUUUGAGCAAAAUUAGGGUUUUUGCGAUUUUUCCGCCGGAUGAAUUUUCGGUACUGGCCAAGGAUCAAUUUGAUGAUUAAAAGUGACUUUUAAGUGAGAAAUAAUAUGUGACUAGUGGCAAUGAUAUAAGGUUAGUGAAUGGGAAAUAAAAACCCUAGUACGUGAGUUUUUAAGAAAAACGGCGCGAUCCGGCGGGUCCCGCGCAUUACCGAUUGAACGCACCGCUUGACCACCAUUUUUCUUACCCAACAAGUUGUUGACUUUUGCACAUAAUAUCUUCUCUCUUGGCAGCAUGUUGACAGAAAAUUGGUGGCUAAGAAAGGCAAGAAAGAAAGAGAAAAAAAAAAAAAGAAAAAAAGAAAGGGUGGUGGUGGUGACACUUGUCACCACCUCAUGGUUUCUUACCAAGACAAACUUCAUCCAUAUAACCUUAACACUUAGCCAAUUCUUCCUCAUUUCUGCUAGUGCUGGCCGAACUUAGCUUGGAGAAAACACCAAGGAAGAUUUCUUCAUUUCACCUUCAAAUCCAACAACUUAGUGAGAAAAUCCACAAAGUAAACCGAUUAAACCUACUCUUGAGUGAUUAUCUAGUGAUUGGUGGUGGAAAUUUGGGAAGAGAAAGCUUGGGGCUGCUCUUAGGGACUUCUAAUCAAGGUAAGAGGAUGAUAUCUCUCUAACUUUCUCUUUCAAUCAUGGUUAAAGUAAGCUUGGUAGCUUGAUUGGUGGUAGAUUCAUGGAUGCUAGCAUGUGUAGGAGUUUUUCCCCAAUUUAUUUGAUGAACUAGGGUUUCUGAAUUUCUGCUCAAGUUGAAGUAUGAUGCAUGAAUGUUGCAAUUAAAGUUAUAUAAGGUUGUUUAGUGGUGAUUAGAACCAGAAAUUUGAGGAAAUUACACUUAGAGCUAAAAAUUCCAGAUUUCUGGAAAAUUUCCCAAGCAUUCUGUCCGAAAUUGUACCUAUAUGUUAGAGGCCGAAUUGGCCUUUGGUCAAAGAAGGAAAGUUGUAUAGAAUGGUGUUUUAUAAGUUCCUGUAAAAUUUCAGCUCAAUCGGAGCAACGUAGGAUGUGAAAAGUCCAAAAUACCCCUACUGUUUUAAGAAUUUCCCAGCAGUCCGUUUCUUCAGUUCAGUCCAGUUUAUCACGAUUUUUGACCAGGAUCCAUUCUGAUUUAGCUCUGGGCCAAAACAUAAAAGUUGUAGUGUUCUGAAGUAGCUUUAAAAUGCUUCAAAGAAAAUCUGAUUCGGACUUGUGUACACUGAGUUAGGUCCGUUACAGCAUAAUGCGUUUAAACUGCCGGUGAAUUGGUUUCUGGUUUAGUAAUCUGAGAUUUUGACUAAGUUACAUUAGGAAAUGGACUAAGUGACCUUCAUGAAUGUUGUAGCUCUGUGUCUUAGCUUCGAAACGGCAUAGGUUUCGUUUUAAUCCGAUAAACGUAGCCUCAGGUAUGGUAUUACCGCAUUUGUACGUCAAAUCUGUCUUGAACUACAUUGCGUUUCUGCACUUGUACUUGAUGCGAUUCGUGUUGUUAUGAUAUUGUGAGCCUAUGGAACGGCUCUUGAAAUAAAUUGCUUAUUUGUAUGAUGUUGGGAUGUUGUUGAAGAAAAAUAAUGAAGCCUAAAUGGCUGGAAAUUAGGUAAACACAAAGGGCAUGCUGCCCGAAUUUUUACUCGAGGUCUAGAAAACUCUCUUUGUGACUUGAGUGAAGGUUAAGUGAUUAUUCCUUGAACUAUCGAGGACCUUUGUCAUUUGUUUAUCAAGGGUUAUAUGUUAGGACUUGACCGAACUUGUACCCUUAGGAAAACGAUAUGAAUCACUACGAAACCGUUUUAUUUGCACUUUUGACUCAAGAGUCAUCUUCAAGCAAAAAUGUUAUCAAAUUUUUCAGUUUGAAGAGCGAGCAACUAUUUCACGACUACUCUCCAAGUGAAUUCCAGUUUCUUGAUUUUGAUUGAAUAAAACGUCUAAGUUUCGAAUCUUAGUCAUAUUUCAAAGUUCUCAAACUGAGUUUUAUCGCAGAUUUGGACUCCGAACCCGGAGUAUACCCUGAAAGUGAUCAAUAAAGGCACUAUAUCUUUUGGUGAGUGCUUUCAAAUACUGAAUUGAACUUGAUACUUGAACUUGAUACAUGACCAAUAUGAGUACAUGUUAUAUACGUGAAUUGAUAGGGCAAGAGUGUACUUUAUCGCACUUGCCCUUACGUGAUAUACUUGUUUAUUGAUUGCAAUUGACUUGAUAUACUCGUUCAUGAUGUGCGCACUUCCUGGAAUUCCGGAAACCCUGUGGCGAGUUACUCGAGUCGAGCCGGCAAGGGCCUGGUCGAUUAGAUAACAAACCCUGGGUCACUUGUAAUGUCGAGUGGAGUGUUAUCUCCUCGACUAACGGUAUACUCGAGUAUUACCACCCAUGUUUAUUGAGGAUUUUGGGCCCAGUAGGGGGUGUGAAUGGUGGACGGAGAGUCGUGUCAGUGGUGUUCUACUGGAUUGGUUACUUACUUGAAAGUUGACGGAGUGUCAACUACUACGUGAUCAAGCUUCUGGUAAUGAAAUGGGAAUUUGGCUCCUGAGAGUCAUCCGUAUCCUUAUACUUUGGAGUGAUUAUUGCUUAUUGGAUUAUUGUUGCUUGUGAAAAACUUCUACACUCGCUCAUUUUGAGAUUGCUACUUGACGUGUUAUUGUUCACAUUUAUGAACUCUUCAUGCUCGUUACUUUGCUAUAUCGAAACUUGUACAAAAAAAAAAAAUAAUGGUCAAUUUGCUAUUUGGAAUCUCACUGGGCUUUUAGCUCAUACCACGCUAUUUGUUUUCCUUACAGGGAUACGAGUGACGCGCGAGACUUGUAAAAGCUAACGUAGCCUUUUGUUUUGACUUUUGACUUUUUGGUCUUGUACUCGCGCUAUUCCUUGAAUGGAACAUGAUGUACUUGGAUUGUAUACGUUUUGAGCUAGUUUGGUGUAUUAAGACUUUGUACCCCGUUUUCUAUCAAUGUAAAUUAUAAGCUUGAAUUGUGAAUGUUAAUUAUGGUUCA
rnacentral:lncRNA from 1 species